rnacentral:rRNA from 1 species
UCGUGGAGCGGCCCGAUAUCUGAUAGCUAGUGGUAGGGUAAAAGCCUACCAAGGCAUCGAUCAGUAGCUGGUCUGAGAGGACGACCAGCCACACUGGAACUGAGACACGGUCCAGACUCUACGGGAGGCAGCAGUGGGGAAUUUUGGACAAUGGGCGCAAGCUGAUCCAGCAAUGCCGCGUGAGUGAAGAAGGCCUUCGGGUUGUAAAGCUCUUUUGUCAGGGAAGAAACGGUGAGAGCUAAUAUCUCUUUGCUAAUGACGGUACCUGAAGAAUAAGCACCGGCUAACUACGUGCCAGCAGCCGCGGUAAUACGUAGGGUGCAAGCGUUAAUCGGAAUUACUGGGCGUAAAGCGUGCGCAGGCGGUUUUGUAAGUCUGAUGUGAAAUCCCCGGGCUCAACCUGGGAAUUGCAUUGGAGACUGCAAGGCUAGAAUCUGGCAGAGGGGGGUAGAAUUCCACGUGUAGCAGUGAAAUGCGUAGAUAUGUGGAGGAACACCGAUGGCGAAGGCAGCCCCCUGGGUCAAGAUUGACGCUCAUGCACGAAAGCGUGGGGAGCAAACAGGAUUAGAUACCCUGGUAGUCCACGCCCUAAACGAUGUCUACUAGUUGUCGGGUCUUAAUUGACUUGGUAACGCAGCUAACGCGUGAAGUAGACCGCCUGGGGAGUACGGUCGCAAGAUUAAAACUCAAAGGAAUUGACGGGGACCCGCACAAGCGGUGGAUGAUGUGGAUUAAUUCGAUGCAACGCGAAAAACCUUACCUACCCUUGACAUGGCUGGAAUCCUUGAGAGAUCAGGGAGUGCUCGAAAGAGAACCAGUACACAGGUGCUGCAU